GGGGGCGACGGGUUUCGACAGGGAGGAUGAGUCAGGGGAUGCGAGCCGAGGCGCCGCUGGCCUCGUAAAAAGCGGCAAAAACACAAACGCCGAGAGCAAUCUCGCACUCGCUGCCUGAGUAGCAGCCAUCCGCCCGGUCCUCGUUCGGUGGGACCGGAUCCGGGUGUAACCAAAGCCGGAUUACCGUGUGGGAAGGGGCCGCGCACCACCCGGGACAUUCAGCGGCCUGGCGCCGGAGGAUCCCGUCUGCGGGAGCCGAAGGGGCGAGACUCAAAACGCAGACUACGCUCGUAGUGGACCCUGGUGAGCUUCCUUUGGACGGCGGUUCGACUCCGCCCGCCUCCACCA
rnacentral:tmRNA from 1 species